AGCGAACGCUGGCGGCAGGCCUAACACAUGCAAGUCGAGCGCCCCGCAAGGGGAGCGGCAGACGGGAGAGUAACACGUGGGAACGUACCCUUCAGUACGGAACAACCAAGGGAAACUUUGGCUAAUACCGUAUACGUCCGUAAGGAGAAAGAUUUAUCGCUGAAGGAUCGGCCCGCGUCUGAUUAGCUAGUUGGUGAGGUAACGGCGCACCAAGGCGACGAUCAGUAGCUGGUCUGAGAGGAUGAUCAGCCUCACUGGGACUGAGACACGGCCCAGACUCCUACGGGAGGCAGCAGUGGGGAAUAUUGGACAAUGGGCGCAAGCCUGACCCGGCCAUGCCGCGUGGGUGAUGAAGGCCCUAGGGUUGUAAAGCCCUUUCGGCGGGGAAGAUAAUGACGGUACCCGCAGAAGAAGCCCCGGCUAACUUCGUGCCAGCCGCCGCGGUAAGAC
rnacentral:rRNA from 1 species